ACCUGUGCCCCUAUGUCCUCAGGAUAACUAUAUCUUGGCACUUGAUUGUCUCCUGGGCAAGUUGUGUCCUACCCAUGGCUCGGUGCAUAUUCCCUGUGAAACUGAGGGAUCAUACUCAGUGCCGUUGGCAUCAAUCCAUUGUUGGCACAUUCACUGUGAGGAAUGUUGGCUUCGCACACUGGGGUCAAAGAAGCUGUGCCCACAGUGUAACACCAUCACGUCACCAGGUGACCUACGCAGGAUCUACCUGUAGAAGAUCCCACUGUAUUCUGAAGUGAGACAAGCCCUGGAUCCCAGGAGCAGUGAUCCCAGGAUCUCUUGGAUCUGAACAGUCCUCAGUGUGGGGCUUCCUGAAAUGAUUUUGAAGAAUUGAUUCUAAUUUUCAGUCAGAAUGUCAAAGGCUUCGUCCCAUGGUUUCUCUGAGUUCAAUAAACUGACAAAUCCAAGCCUGAGGGAGA